GUCAGUCAGUGCAGGACCGCUACUGCAGACAAACCCUCUUCAGCAGGCGUGAAGUUUUAUAGCUGUGACAGCUGCUUCUCCAGCUUGCCAGCAUAGGGCAAUGAGUCAAAGAGAAAGUUCUGCUCUAGGGUGCUGCUGGUGGUGCAAUGACCUUCAUAUGUGGCAACAGGCCAUCAUCUUACAAGGCUGUUAAUGUCCACCGCAAAGUGUAUGUUCUCGUGAGUCACAAUGGAGCUGAAUCAAUGUCCUGUUGGGCUAGCAGUGGGAAGAGGAGAUUGAACCAUAGUGAGAAGUACCACAAAAAACCUG